AACGAACGCUGGCGGCAUGCCUAACACAUGCAAGUCGAACGAGAUCUUCGGGUCUAGUGGCGCACGGGUGCGUAACGCGUGGGAAUCUGCCCUUUGGUUCGGAAUAACAGUUGGAAACGACUGCUAAUACCGGAUGAUGACGAAAGUCCAUAGAUUUAUCGCCAGAGGAUGAGCCCGCGUAGGAUUAGCUAGUUGGUGUGGUAAAGGCGCACCAAGGCGACGAUCCUUAGCUGGUCUGAGAGGAUGGUCAGCCACACUGGGACUGAGACACGGCCCAGACUCCUACGGGAGGCAGCAGUGGGGAAUUUUGGACAAUGGGCGAAAGCCUGAUCCAGCAAUGCCGCGUGAGUGAUGAAGGCCUUAGGGUUGUAAAGCUCUUUUACCCGGGAUGAUAACGACAGUACCGGGAGAAUAAGCUCCGGCUAACUCCGUGCCAGCCGCCGCGGUAA
rnacentral:rRNA from 1 species